rnacentral:tmRNA from 1 species
GGGGGCGAAUUUGGUUUCGACGGGGAUAUGGAAUCAAGAGUAGCGAGUCGUUGUCGCCAAGCAACGCUAAAAGUGGCACAAACAAUAAACGCAAACGAUAAUUACGCAUUAGCAGCUUAAUUAAAGCCGCUCGUCAAGCUUAAGAAUCCCACGACUUUUAGCAUUGACGUCAUAUUAGUGGGGAACCGCACUAAGCAAAGCUUUGAGCUUAGGACGGAAUUUAUGAAGCUACCAAAACUAAAACCUUGUCAGUAGGGGUUUAGUAGAGGGAAUGUAAAAUUACUGGCUGCACUCGGAGAAGCUCUUGAGGAAAUGUUUUCGGACGUGGGUUCGACACCCACCGCCUCCACCA